rnacentral:misc_RNA from 1 species
AACGCACAUUGCGCCCUUUGGUAUUCCAAAGGGCAUGCCUGUUCGAGCGUCAUUUGUACCCUCAAGCUUUGCUUGGUGUUGGGCGUUUUUUUGUCUUUGGGUCCGCCAAAGACUCGCCUUAAAGUGAUUGGCAGCCGGCCUACUGGUUUCGCAGCGCAGCACAUUUUUGCGCUUGCAAUCAGCAAAAGAGGACGGCAAUCCAUCAAGACUCCUUUCUCACGUUUGACCUCGGAUCAGGUAGGGAUACCCGCUGAACUUAA